rnacentral:rRNA from 1 species
GACGAACGCUGGCGGCGUGCUUAACACAUGCAAGUCGAACGGAAAGGCCCUGCUUUUGUGGGGUGCUCGAGUGGCGAACGGGUGAGUAACACGUGAGUAACCUGCCCCUGACUUUGGGAUAACUUCAGGAAACUGGGGCUAAUACCGGAUAGGAGCUCUUGCUGCGUGGUGGGGGUUGGAAAGUUUCGGCCGUUGGGGCUGGACUCGCGGCUUAUCAGCUUGUUGGGGGGGUAGUGGCUUACCAAGGCUUUGACGGGUAGCCCGCCUGGGAGGGUGGCCGGGCACAUGAGGACUGAGAUAGGCCCCAGAAGCCAACGGGAGGCAACGGUCGGAAGUAUUACACAGCGGGGCGACGCCUGAUGCGGAGACGCCGCGUGCGGGAAAACCGGCUACGGGUGAUGAACCGAUUUCGACUGAGCCGAGGCGUGAGUGACGGUAACGGAUCAAGAAGCACCGGCUAACUACGUG